rnacentral:snRNA from 1 species
CAGUGCUACCACUCCUUUAGAAUUUGUCUAGCAGGUUUUUUGACCAUUGCCAGAAGGCCCCC